AUAAAUAUAGCUUACCUAAGCGCCGGUUUUGUAAACCGGAGAUGUGCCGAACUGUUUAUA
rnacentral:tRNA from 1 species